GUUUAACUUCAUCUGCUUACUGUGGUAAAUCUUUGCACCAAAAAUGAUACAUUAGUGAGAUAGACUAUAAUUUAUAAAUUAUAUUACCUUAGCAAAAUAAUCACAGAUAAUCACAAUUUUGUAGAAUGAUAUAUUUAAUAUACACUUUAUAUGCUGUAUGCAAUUAUGAACUUAAAUACAGAAAGAAAAAGAGAAGAUUCAAGAGAAUAAAUGUGUACAUUCUAUUCGAACAACAUAAGAGUGAAUAUUUUUAAUGUAUAUUGAAUUUAUAAUCCUUAACACAUUGGUGCCCAGGUAUGUGUGUCAUACCAGUUGUUAAAAUUUCUACUGCUGCCCAGUGGUGUAUGUUAUACAACUGUUUAAAAUUGUAAGUGUCAAGAUUUCCAUGCAAUUUUCAGAUUGGUCUAUUCUUACUAGUGGCACUAUCAUUGUUUGUUCUAAUUUUUAAAGCAAGUUUUGCUCUUUAGUAUUAAAAAUUUGAUUUUUAUAAUUUUUUUUCUAAACAAUAAUAAGCAAUAAGAUAACUACUAAAGUUUCUGUAAACACUGCUUAUACUCAUGUAUAAUAUCAAAUGGUGUAACAUGAUCUUAUGGGAAACUGAUAGAUCAUCAUUAUCAACCACCUCUGUGUUAGAGAAGCUCUGAAAAAUAACAUUCAACAAAUAGAAUAUACUCACAACCUAUCAUUUUGAAGUCCUCUUCUCAUCCUAAAACUGGAACUGGUCUGCAUAACUUUCCAUAGAUUCUUGAUCCAGCAUGUACCUUAGACACAGAGUAUGGCACCAUUAUUGAGGGACAUUGCCCAUUUAAUAUGCUAUGGUUCUAUUUUUCAUUUGAAGGAGUAAUGUAUGUGCAAAGAACAGGCAUACCAAUAGGGAGCUCAUGGCUGGAUCUCUAGCAAAAAUUUUGUUAAGAACAAUAGAGGAUAAGAGAAUCCCAUUUUUCCAGCCCAUGUUAAAGUUUUAUAUAAGAGAUGUAGAUGAUAGGCCUAUACUAGCAAUAUGGGAGAAUGACAUUAAACUAGAGAAGUUCGUAAGUGCCUUCACAAUACAGACAUAUGGAAUAGUCUUAAAGAACAGCAAAGCACAUUCAACAUUCACUAGUUAGACCUGGAUAUAAGUAUAUGCAAUAAGCAACUGAAGACCAAAAUGUAUAGAAAGCCAAUAUGAUGAGUACAGCAUAUGUCUGUAGGAAACUUUCUAAACUGCUCUUUUCGGUACUUCAAAAUUAACACACUACUAUCAGCGCUGUUGGGCGGAC
rnacentral:lncRNA from 1 species